GGGCGGGGCCUGCCGCCGCCACCGCCUCAGGGAAGAGGAAGGAGGCCGCGGCUUCGCGUCCCGCCUCUCGCCUGGCUGGCCGUGGGGGGCCUGGACGCAGUGGCCUCCCGAAUCUCCCAGGACCCUAAUAUCGCCCGAGGAUGCUGGGAGGAACGCUGAGCCGACCUCUCCGUUAGGCUGAAGAUUGCACAAACCAUGCUAAUGGCCAGCAUGGAUGGAGGGAGCGUGUGAGAUGUGUGGGGCAGCGUGCUGCAUCUCAGCCAACUCCAGGAGCCAGUUGAUGUGAUGGACUACCUUAAUUGAUUUUUGAAUGUUGAGCCAGCCUUAUGCAUGUGGGAUAAACCCCUGUUGAUCAUGGCUGGCUGGAGUGCAGUGGUGCAAUCAUGGCUCACUGCAACCUCAAAUUCCUGGGCUCAAGGGAUCCUCCUGCCUCAGCCUCCCAAGUAGCUAGGACUACAGGAAGCAUGCUCAUGGCAAUACCCGGAGUCUCCACUGCAAGACCAGAGUGACGGAGGCAGCAGAGCUCCUCAGCAGGCCAGGAGUCUCCAGAGGCACUGCCGAAUGUCUAAGAAGCAACCUCAUUGUAUUCCCAAGACCUGGGAAUCCAGGUCUCGCAGAUACGAUGAUACAAUCUAUAGCCAGGACAUCUCUUCAUGUGUAGUUUUCAAUGAAUACUAGGAUAAGCAACUAUCCCAGUCUUCCCAGGAUUGAGGGGCUUCUCCAGAUGCUGCACUUCUGGUGCUAAAAAUGAGAAACUGAAAUGAAUUAGUCACCCAAGGAAUGCUGACCCUGUGCUAUAUGAUCACAUUUACUCUUUAAAGCAAUGCUUUGAGACAUGAAAGCCAGAUAGGGAAGAAUUUGCAGCCUCAUACUGAUUGGCCAGUUGAGGAGUCAACUCAUCUCUCUUAUAGAAAAAAGAAGAUUACAUUUACGGAAUACAGAAUAUACUGUGCUCUCUACUUACCAAGAGAUUUCUUUCUCUACUGACAACUUUCUGUUGACGUGGUUACUGUGCAGGUUCUGACAGUCGAUUCUUUCCACCUAGUUCACUGCUGAAGCUAUAAUGAUUUCCAUUUUGCAAAAAGAGGAUGAUUACUUAUUAUCUGUGACCAUUUCUCAAUUCCAGAACAAUUGAGCUGCAUAGUCCCUGCAAUCUUAUAAAGGCAUUUGGCCUGGAAGAUGCUCUGCAGCCAUGUGCCAAGAAUAACGGCUAUAGGGACAAUGUUUCAUUAACCCCAAAGCAGCAACCUGAACCUCUUACUGUACAAUAUCUGCUCCGUUCAGAAUUAGCUCGACUUGAGUCACAGGAUGAAGCUUACCAAAAGGAAUUUCCACGUCCAAGGAAGGAACCAAGAUCACUGAGAGGUUAUAGUAUGAAAAGUGAAGAGAAAAAACCUAUUCUAAACAUUUUAUUAAUUGUCAAUAAUUAUUUUAAAAUAUUUAAUAUAGUCUCCUACCUGGUCCACUGGCAUCAAGCUGCCAAAUUUACACGGUCACUUUGGGAAGCCAGCUGGCAGGCAAACAUGGAAAGUGCUGGCUCCUAGCGUAGUGAGAAGACCACAGAUAGAUGGUAAUUUUCUUCUUUGUUUUAUUUUUCUUUUUCUUCUCUCCCUCUUUUUCUUCCCUCUUGCCUUUCCCUCCCAUUGCCCACUUUCUUUUUUUGGCUGCCGAAGAUUUAUUGCCUUUCAGUACUUAUAGAUGAUGUUUUCAUAAGUUCUAAUGAGGUCCCAGCAGUUUUUAACAAUAACAGGACAUUACUGUUCCUAAGAUAUAUUAUGUGUUUUCCCUCAUCUUUCUCCCUUGAAUGAAAUGCUUAGAAGUAGGCUAACCCCCAAUUCCCUUCCCUUUACUAUGAUAAAUGGCUCCAUUACUUAAUAGGGCUAAAUACUCUGCUGUGACUUUUAUACUGCUGAUUUGAAUAAAAUCUUACGAAAAGCU
rnacentral:lncRNA from 1 species